rnacentral:rRNA from 1 species
GAACGCUGGCGGCAGGCCUAACACAUGCAAGUCGAGCGCUCACUUCGGUGGGAGCGGCGGACGGGUUAGUAACGCGUGGGAACGUGCCCAGAUCUAAGGAAUAGCCACUGGAAACGGUGAGUAAUACCUUNUACGCCCUUCGGGGGAAAGAUUUAUCGGAUUUGGAUCGGCCCGCGUUAGAUUAGAUAGUUGGUGGGGUAAUGGCCUACCAAGUCUACGAUCUAUAGCUGGUUUUAGAGGAUGAUCAGCAACACUGGGACUGAGACACGGCCCAGACUCCUACGGGAGGCAGCAGUGGGGAAUCUUGGACAAUGGGGGCAACCCUGAUCCAGCCAUGCCGCGUGAGUGAUGAAGGCCUUAGGGUCGUAAAGCUCUUUCGCCAGGGAUGAUAAUGACAGUACCUGGUAAAGAAACCCCGGCUAACUCCGUGCCAGCAGCCGCGGUAAUACGGAGGGGGUUAGCGUUGUUCGGAAUUACUGGGCGUAAAGCGCGCGUAGGCGGAUUGGAAAGUUGGGGGUGAAAUCCCGGGGCUCAACCCCGGAACUGCCUCCAAAACUAUCAGUCUAGAGUUCGAGAGAGGUGAGUGGAAUUCCGAGUGUAGAGGUGAAAUUCGUAGAUAUUCGGAGGAACACCAGUGGCGAAGGCGGCUCACUGGCUCGAUACUGACGCUGAGGUGCGAAAGUGUGGGGAGCAAACAGGAUUAGAUACCCUGGUAGUCCACACCGUAAACGAUGAAUGCCAGUCGUCGGCAAGCAUGCUUGUCGGUGACACACCUAACGGAUUAAGCAUUCCGCCUGGGGGAGUACC